GUGCCAGCAGCCGCGGUAAUACAGAGGAGCCAAGCGUUGUCCGGAUUGACUGGGCGUAAAGCGCACGCAGGCGGUCGGGCGCGUGGGGUGUGAAAUCUGGCCGCUUAACGGCCAGGCGCCAUCCCAUACGGCUCGACUGGAGUGAUGCAGAGGUCGGUGGAAUUGCCGGUGUAGUGGUGAAAUGCGUAGAGAUCGGCAGGAACACCCAGGGGGAAACCAGCCGACUGGGCAUUGACUGACGCUGAGGUGCGAGAGCGUGGGGAGCGAACUGGAUUAGAAACCCGGGUAGUCC
rnacentral:rRNA from 1 species